UACAGAGGGUGCGAGCGUUAAUCGGAAUUACUGGGCGUAAAGCGCACGUAGGCGGCUUGGUAUGUCGGGUGUGAAAUCCCCGGGCUCAACCUGGGAACUGCAUCCGAAACUGCCUUGCUAGAGUAUGGGAGAGGGAAGUGGAAUUUCCGGUGUAGCGGUGAAAUGCGUAGAUACCAUAAAGAACACCUAUUGCGAAGGCAGCUUACUAGGCUGUAACUGACGCUGAGGCACGAAAGUGUGGGGAUCAAACAGG
rnacentral:rRNA from 1 species